rnacentral:rRNA from 1 species
GACGAACGCUGGCGGCGUGCUUAACACAUGCAAGUCGAACGAAGAGCGAUGGAAGCUUGCUUCUAUCAAUCUUAGUGGCGAACGGGUGAGUAACGCGUAAUCAACCUGCCCUUCAGAGGGGGACAACAGUUGGAAACGACUGCUAAUACCGCAUACGAUCCAACCUCGGCAUCGAGGAUGGAUGAAAGGUGGCCUCUAUUUAUAAGCUAUCACUGAAGGAGGGGAUUGCGUCUGAUUAGCUAGUUGGAGGGGUAACGGCCCACCAAGGCAAUGAUCAGUAGCCGGUCUGAGAGGAUGAACGGCCACAUUGGGACUGAGACACGGCCCAGACUCCUACGGGAGGCAGCAGUGGGGAAUCUUCCGCAAUGGACGAAAGUCUGACGGAGCAACGCCGCGUGAGUGAUGACGGCCUUCGGGUUG